AGAGCACUAGUUUAUUUUCAAUACGGAACUGCGCAAGUUGCACGGUUAUUCAAGUCAGCAGGAGCAAAGAAUCAGAUGUAUUGUAAAUCAUGCACUUCACCGCGUCACUUAAUCAUGUUAAAAUGACAACACGAACGAAAGAAAGAAACAUCCAGGAUCCUGUUACACUCUGAGUGGUGUAUGCAGUAUGCACUCCGAACAGGGAAGAGAAGUCAUGGAGUAUUUGACAGCUUGAUAUAGUUGCAUCAGACAGUUUGAAGUAACCUUUGAUGGGGUCUUAUAGAGACAGCUGGCACAGGUUGGAAUUAUGACAUAAUACAGAUUAUGGAUCAUUAAUUGGAAAUAAAUCAGAAAAAGUACUUCAGUUCUUGCUUAGAAGAUCAGUGCCAUCUAUUAUAGUAAUGAC